UACGGGGGGGGCAAGCGUUGUUCGGAAUUACUGGGCGUAAAGGGCUCGUAGGCGGCCAACUAAGUCAGACGUGAAAUCCCUCGGCUUAACCGGGGAACUGCAUCUGAUACUGGAUGGCUUGAGUUCGGGAGAGGGAUGCGGAAUUCCAGGUGUAGCGGUGAAAUGCGUAGAUAUCAGGAGGAACACCCGUGGCGAAAGCGGCUCUCUGGGACGGUACUGACGCUGAGACGCGAAAGCGUGGGGAGCAAACAGG
rnacentral:rRNA from 1 species